AAACUUGAAGAGGCUGGACCCUGGGGUAUGUCUACGAAAGAGAAACCAUGCAGUGUCCUUCUACCAUGUCAGGCCUGGAACUGUGAAUGGACCGAAGACCAGUGGGGCCUUCAGCUACUGGCCUGGACUCUUGGAAGCAAACUUGUUUUUCUGUGAUUUACCAGAAACUCUCAGGACGAGAAUAUCUCAGUCUUCCAAGGUUUGGCUUCAUUGA
ensembl:processed_transcript AY512915 cDNA sequence AY512915